GAUGAACGCUGGCGGCGUGCCUAAUACAUGCAAGUCGAGCGAACGGACGAGAAGCUUGCUUUUCUGAUGUUAGCGGCGGACGGGUGAGUAACACGUGGAUAACCUACCUAUAAGACUGGGAUAACUUCGGGAAACCGGAGCUAAUACCGGAUAAUAUUUUGAACCGCAUGGUUCAAAAGUGAAAGACGGUCUUGCUGUCACUUAUAGAUGGAUCCGCGCUGCAUUAGCUAGUUGGUAAGGUAACGGCUUACCAAGGCAACGAUGCAUAGCCGACCUGAGAGGGUGAUCGGCCACACUGGAACUGAGACACGGUCCAGACUCCUACGGGAGGCAGCAGUAGGGAAUCUUCCGCAAUGGGCGAAAGCCUGACGGAGCAACGCCGCGUGAGUGAUGAAGGUCUUCGGAUCGUAAAACUCUGUUAUUAGGGAAGAACAUAUGUGUAAGUAACUGUGCACAUCUUGACAGUACCUAAUCAGAAAGCCACGGCUAACUACGU
rnacentral:rRNA from 1 species